GCGGGGGCGCGCGCGGGGCGGCGGGGGGAGGCCCGGGCCUGGGAGUCGCCAAAGGGAGGAGUGGCCGCUCCGUGCUCUACCGGGCGGUCUCUGGGGCCAUCCGCGUGUGUGGCUGCGCACAAGAAAAGCGAGGCCUGUCAUAGGGGAAGAAAAGGUAUCAGCAGGGAUUUCCGCCCACUCUGCCCAACUUGACCAUUUCCCGUCGUCCUUCUAUGUGGGCCUCUUCCUAGUAUGCCCCUGGGAGACCAGGGGUCCUUGAGAACCUUUCGGGGAGUGUCUGAGGGCCCACAGUUGGGCUGGAAGAUAGAGCAACAAAAAGCACCCAUGUCACCGAUGAGAACAUUUAUGUGUGCCAAAUGGCGGGUGGAAGGUGCCACAGAGAGGCUGAGGAUUUCAGAGGGCACCCUGAACUGGAGUGAGGUCAUAGAGCAGGAACCCAAGACCUCCACCUGGUUGGUGUGAGCCCUCCAGGAAGCAGGCACCCUUCCCCAGCCCUCAAGCAAGCAAAAAUCCGGGUUUAAGAAAGAAGGAGGAGAAGCAGCAGCAGCAGCAGCCACAAAGCCUGUGACAGCUACAGCCCAAGGAGACUGAAGCAGGGGAGACUGAAGGCCUGAAGAGCAGAGGCUUCUUUCAAAGAAAAAGACCCCUCUCCCAGCACCCAGCGAUGACGGCAAGCCCCACCCACAGUGCCUGCUAAGAACAAGUUCCAUAUGAGGAUAACACGCCUUCCCCCCGAGAUGCCCAUAGGGACCCCGAGAUGCCUGCAGUGCUUGGCUCUCCCGCUGGCCAGCUGCCCACCUGGCUGGGGCCCAG